ACAGUUUCACCAGAGAGUCAGCAGCAGCAAGAAGGUGAGAGACCAGUCAUGCAAGAGCUUCAACUACAUACAAAGAGAGAAAAGGUAGGAAAUGAGAAGAUUUUGUUCCCUCCUGGCAAGCAUGACUGCUACUCAUCACCAUUCAACUGGAAAAAAAAGGACGGAGAGCAAAUCACACCACAUUCACAUGAUAUCCAACGGUGUCUGAGAAAUAUUUAUUUUAUUCCUAACGUCAGUCACCCUUUUGAAAUUUGCUUUCCCACCAAGCAAAGAAUAGAAUCAGGUUCUUCCAAUUAAACUCCUCCUGUCAUUGAUGCCUGCUGCAGAUGGAUGGACUACUAGCGAUUUUCUUACUGGGUGACACUUCCAGUUGGACUCCUCUCACCGUAUGUAUCACUACUGCUGGACAAACAACUACCUUACUUCCUGCUUGGGAUAAGACCUUAUCGCUUCAAACUAGAUAGUCAUUGAAGGAUCCUUCCAAAUGAACUAUUCUAAGAUUCCUACAGAAGCUAUUCGCUGAGAGAAGAAUUGGGAACAGGUGUGAGAAGAUCAUAAGGUGCAGAAGAAAAAGGUAUUAAUUUUAUUUUUAAUAUAGCAAAUAGCCACCAAAUAUAGCCAACAAGGAUUCCUAGUUCCAGCUGUUUCAUUGCAGUACAUAGCUCUGCACCAUUUCUUCCCACCUUUCUGCUUCUCAGACAGAACUGGAGAUUUUUAAAAGACCACUGUUUGAAAACUGACUGUUAUACUGCAUCAUCUUGAGGUCAAUUAAAAUAUAUUAACAAUAGAUUCAACUUUUCAGUACAAUUUAUAUUGCUUUGAGAUACGUUACUGUUCUUCUCAAUUCAACUUUCCCUCAAUAAAUGGCAAAUUAAAUUUGCUAUAACACAAAUCAAGAAAGAUCAAAUGGAACUGUAAACAAGGUUAAUCAGAAAAAGUGGCAAAGCAAAAGAGAAAAGGAAGAAGAUGAGAACAAAGAUGUCCCAUAAAGAAGAAGAGGGUUGAAUGGGAUCAGACAUAAAAGAAGGAAAAGAUCAAGAAUGAGGUGCAGCAACAAAUUUGGGUGUAAAAGACAGGAAAAACAAGUAUAAGGAGGUGUAAUAUCUGGAUUUGUUUAAUAUGUUGCUCUCAAAAUAAAACAAAAAAUUGUCUGAAGAUGAUGGUGAAAAAGUAAAAAAAAAAAAAAAGUGAAAAAUAAAACACAUUUGUUUGAUCUUUAUCCAUACCAGGCUUAUGAUGUAAUCUCAACAGAAAGAAACUAAGCUCAGGCUGGGGACCAUGCUUAUUUAGAUGAUCUUCAGCUAAAACAAAGGUGUUUCUGGAAGCAGCUCUGAUUACGUUCUCUGAGUGAAUGUCUGCCUUGGUUCCAAAGUAUGCUUUGGAGGAUGGUAAGCAGAUGUAGGAGCUCGUACUUUGCAUAAGCCAAAGCUCCAAAAACUCAGAAGCUGAAACUGCGGUCAUACACAGAAGUCUGACACUUUCUCAGAAUCUGUGCUUUUAAUUAUCAUAUCACGUACAGUACGAUAUGCACUUUUAUUCAUGAGAAAAAAAGCACAACAGUAAAAAAACAAAGACUGUUUUCCUAUGCUUCCAUAAUACUUCAAAGUGGGAUCAAAGUAGUUACAUCUGCAGUGCCAUAUUUAAUUUUGAUAAUAUACUUCACUCAGAUUUUCACAUUACAAACUAAGGAAGUGCUUUUACUGUAUACUGUUUAAUAGCACAGUAAUAGAACAUUCUCCUUUCUUUAUUCCUCUCUAAUUCCCCUCCAAAUACAAAAUCAAAACUACUUAAUGUUCAUCUUAAAAUUCUUUUGCUUGCAGUAGUUUCCUGAGAACCUGUUUUCCUAAUUUUUUCUGCCUAACUGUAUCUGCUUUUUUA